rnacentral:rRNA from 1 species
CGACAGCAAUAUGAAGGUCAGGCUGAAGACCUUACCCGAUUAGCUGAGAGGUGGUGCAUGGCCGUCGUCAGUUCGUACUGUGAAGCAUCCUGUUAAGUCAGGCAACGAGCGAGACCCACGUCCACAGUUGCCAGCAUACCCUCCGGGGUGAUGGGUACACUGUGGAGACCGCCGCUGCUAAAGCGGAGGAAGGAGUGGGCAACGGUAGGUCAGUAUGCCCCGAAUCUCCCGGGCUACACGCGGGCUACAAUGGUUGGUACAAUGGGCAUCUACCCCGAAAGGGGAAGGAAAUCUCUUAAAGCCAAUCGUAGUUCGGAUUGAGGGCUGCAACUCGCCCUCAUGAAGCUGGAAUCCGUAGUAAUCGCGUUUCAACAGAACGCGGUGAAUACGCCCCUGCUCCUU